GUGGUUUAUGCUCCAUACGAUCCUGAUGAUUUAAGGCUGUGAGAGGAGGACGUGAUGCCGAAGGAGCUUGGCUAGGAUCGCAUUUGGUGCGUGGAGGAGAGGCUAGAAUCGCGGCAGCCCGCAGCAGCAAGUGGCGGAAGAAAUGUUUGUCUUCUAUCUGAGGUUCAACGACUUCUGAGAUAUCCUGUAUGCAGAGGUCUUCCGCCGUUUCCGCUUCGUGUUUUUAGUCUCGAUGAAACGAAUGGUAGCACGACGACCUUGUGUAAACACAACAUGCUCUGUACGCAGUAAUACAUGAACACCAAGGCCGCGCGCCAGGAUUAUAUUAUUGUUUCAUAAUAACCGAUCUUCGCACGAUUGAAUAUCUUGCAUCCGAAGCUAAUUUCGAUAAAUAAGGUAAACUUCAUUAUUAGUAUUAUUAAAAUAAUAAAUUAUCCGUCCCAUUACUCCACCAUCGCCCGAUGCCUUCCAGAUAUUCUUCUCAUCAUUUCGGAUUCCUUCGUCGCGCUCGUGCAACUCUCGCGAAAACAUGAUUAAUUAUUGCCACGCGCAAAUUACUCACUUGCAUAAAACGAUCACUUGAGACUUUGUACGACACUUUUGAUGAUAAUUGUAUGAAGAAAGAUAUUCAAUCUUAUUUAAA
rnacentral:lncRNA from 13 species